AAAGUCAAAGCCAAGAUGCUCCAUUAUAAUGAUGCAGGAAGCUGGCACAUCACCCGCACAGAUAGGAAGGGGAGAAUCAGGGUGAGGUCCUCUAAAUUCCAUCAAGCUGAUUCAUAAGCUUUUAUAUAGGCAGAUGAAUAAGAAAAAAAAAUUGGUAAUAGACUGCUGGCUUUCAGCAUCAUUUGGAAGUGAAUUUGUCCUAGGAACAGCAAGGUUGAUUUGUGAGAUGGUGAUUCUUUGGCAAGAUUUUCAGCAGCAGGAAGGCUGGCAGCAGGUAGACACACAGCUGGGGUGGUAGCAGGUGGUCCUACAGCAGGUGUGUUCACUAGUCUGAUAGCAAGUUGGGGGGCAGUAAGGCCGACAGCAGCCGGACUCACAGCAGGUGGGCUGGCAGCAGGUGGUCACACAAGUAGGUUUGCAGCAAGUGGUCCUGCAACAGGUGGUUUGACAGCAAGUUGGGGGGCAGCAGGGCUGACAGCAGCUGGACUCACAGCAGGUGGGCCGGCAGCAGGUGGUCCUGCAGCAGGUAGGUUGACAGCAAGGGGAGCAGCAGGAAUGGGUCAUGGUGUCAGGUGUGGAGGGUUGGCUUCUGAGCAGAGACAAAUUUCUCAGAAUCUGAAUACCUCUUCUCUACUAGACCUUUUAUACUCUGGUUCCCAAAUUUAGGACCAAUGAACAGAAUUUUCCUUGUUAUUAUUUAUAACUUUUUUCAUGAUCCAUGGAAAAUUGCCUAAGGAGGAAGUGUUCCCUAACUGUUCUGAAAAUAGGAUUAUUCUCCUAGGUAAUAUUAAACCAUAGGAACUUAUUUCCAGAAACGGGAGAAACCAUCAACAUCCAUACCCUUAUUUAAGUGUGAAUCAUCAUUUCUCAAGACAGAAUUCAUC
rnacentral:lncRNA from 1 species